CGAGUGGCUCACCUCAUUGAGUGGAAGGGCUGGAGCAAGCCAAGUGACUCACCUGCUGCCCUGGAAUCAGCCUUUUCCUCCUAUUCAGACCUCAGCGAGGGCGAACAGGAGGCUCGCUUUGCAGCAGGAGUGGCUGAGCAGUUUGCCAUCGCGGAAGCCAAGCUCCGAGCAUGGUCUUCGGUGGAUGGCGAGGACUCCACUGAUGACUCCUAUGAUGAGGACUUUGCUGGGGGAAUGGACACAGGUGAGGGACAUCCUGGGCUAGGGCUGUGGUGGACCCACCUGAUAGACCUUGGCAUUCUUCCAGAGCCACAUCCAGAACACUCUCAGCCUUUGCAAGGGGAGGGAGAGGGACAGACUCAGUCCAGGCAGGCCUGGACACUCCAGGGACAGGAAGGCUGUCCACACUCAUGGGUGGGAAAUGAGCAGACAGAAAUGGAUUCGUUCCUUUCCCACAGGUGCUGAGGCUUCUCUGCCUAUCUGCACAGUUGUGCCUUGCAGUCCUCAAAAAAAAAAAAAAAAAAAAAAAA
rnacentral:sRNA from 1 species